CCGAGCCAUGGGCGUCAUAACCUCCCACACUUUGGGAGGUAUUUUGCAGGAUUUCCCGGUGCGCAGGUCGAAAAGGGCACACUGGACGUAAGGACGAGGUGCAGGAUGACUGCAGGGACGGCCAGAGCUGUGCGCAGAGCGCGGCCGGACGCAGGAGGCUAAAGACUGAGUCAGUCCGGCGAGGAUCGUCUUCAGUCUGACGGUCGCCUCCUUGGCGAGUACAUCCACUACAAGGUGGCGACACGCAGCCGGCCCGGCCGGCCAGCUCGUAGGGGAGCAGCACCGCGCGCGCGACCAGGGCGAACCCGACCUGCGACAAGGCCGCGUGCACCGCGUACCGCCACCGCAGCCAUCAAAGGGUUGUGCGGGCGCCACCGAAACCGGAAGGGGUCACCGACCUUACUCCGUGCAAGUGAUUCCUUAUCAUCGCAACCGUCAAAACUCGUGCGUCAAGAAAUGUUUUGACCCUUUUUCCGAUAUUUUGGAUUUUUAUUGUGGUCAUUAUCAUCAAGUACUUCGAGUUGCUUUCUGGAUUUGAAGCUUUUCUCUGCCAUGCAAAAAGUGGAUUCCCUGCAUCUCUUCGGAAGAAGCGGUGCGAGGCAUGGCGCGGCAACUGACCCGAUACUGCAUCUUGAGGAGCCCAGCUGGUCGCAGCAGCAGGCCGUACAUCUAGGAGGCGCGGUGCGGCGCCAUCCACAGCGGCCAAAGCCUUGGGCAGAGCCUCCCACCACCACGCUCAGCCACCCUCCGCAUCCACGUCUCAUCAGGAACGACGCUGGCAUCCAACGAGCGCGGCGCAUCGCGACCUGCUUGACGCGAAGAGGAAGAACAACAUCGCACGCCCUGAGGAGGUUUAGACGAGACAAAGAUAUUUGGAAAAUAUUCAGUUUAGCCUUGGAAUUGUAGGGUCCCCAGCGGCUCCAGAACAGUACACCCCGGCGGCCACGAUAUUGUCGAUGAUAAACAAUACCUGGAGGCAAAGAAUACGGCCGCUCGGAAGGAAUUUCCCUGGAAUACACACGGCCGUGCAUGGCGCUACCAUUUAAACGAAGCAGCGGCCAUUAGACGCAGUGGCAGCGGUAGUAGCAGCGGCGGCAGCCGAAGCAGCGGUUGCAGCGGUGGAAGCGACAGGCAGCUGUGCAGCUAGAGGAUGCUGUGAUUUCGUCGCUCUGCGAGCGUCGUCGUCGGAGCAGCCGAGGAAAAACAAAGUGCAUCGCGGACGGACAACCCGGCUGGGCUACAUGAAGAAUAUAUAACAAAAAAGAUUCAAUAAAUUUCACAAUUAAAGAAGUGACUUUGUACCUGUAUUCAUUUCCCAAUGACGAAAACAUUCCAGAGUAAGCAUUCA